AUUGAACGCUGGCGGCAUGCCUUACACAUGCAAGUCGAACGGUAACAGGUCUUCGGAUGCUGACGAGUGGCGAACGGGUGAGUAAUACAUCGGAACGUGCCUAGUAGUGGGGGAUAACUACCCGAAAGAGUGGCUAAUACCGCAUGAGAUCUACGGAUGAAAGCAGGGGAUCGCAAGACCUUGUGCUACUAGAGCGGCCGAUGGCAGAUUAGGUAGUUGGUGGGAUAAAAGCUUACCAAGCCGACGAUCUGUAGCUGGUCUGAGAGGACGAUCAGCCACACUGGGACUGAGACACGGCCCAGACUCCUACGGGAGUCAGCAGUGGGGAAUUUUGGACAAUGGGCGCAAGCCUGAUCCAGCAAUGCCGCGUGCAGGAUGAAGGCCUUCGGGUUGUAAACUGCUUUUGUACGGAACGAAAAGCCCUGGGUUAAUACCCUGGGGUCAUGACGGUACCGUAAGAAUAAGCACCGGCUAACUACGUGCCAGCCGCCGCGGUAAGAC
rnacentral:rRNA from 1 species